GACGAACGCUGGCGGCGUGCUUAACACAUGCAAGUCGAACGAUGAAGCCCAGCUUGCUGGGUGGAUUAGUGGCGAACGGGUGAGUAACACGUGAGCAACGUGCCCGAAACUCUGGAAUAACUACCGGAAACGGUGGCUAAUACUGGAUAUGUGCCAGGGAGGCAUCUCCUCUGGUUGGAAAGAUUUUUCGGUUUCGGAUCGGCUCACGGCCUAUCAGCUUGUUGGGGGGGUAAUGGCCUACCAAGGCGACGACGGGUAGCCGGCCUGAGAGGGUGACCGGCCACACUGGGACUGAGACACGGCCCAGACUCCUACGGGAGGCAGCAGGGGGGAAUAUUGCACAAUGGGCGCAAGCCUGAUGCAGCAACGCCGCGUGAGGGAUGACGGCCUUCGGGUUGUAAACCUCUUUUAGUAGGGAAGAAGCGCAAGUGACGGUACCUGCAGAAAAAGCACCGGCUAACUACGUG
rnacentral:rRNA from 1 species